GACGAACGCUGGCGGCGGGCUUAACACAUGCAAGUCGAACGGAAAGGCCCUGCUUUUGUGGGGUGCUCGAAUGGCGAACGGGUGGGUAACACGUGAGUAACCUGCCCUUGACUUUGGGAUAACUUCAGGAAACUGGGGCUAAUACCGGAUAGGAGCUCCUGCUGCAUGGUGGGGGUUGGAAAGUUUCGGCGGUUGGGGAUGGACUCGCGGCUUAUCAGCUUGUUGGUGGGGUAGUGGCGUACCAAGUCUUUGACGGUUAGCCGGCCUGAGAGGGUGACCGGCCACAUUGGGACUGAGAUACGGCCCAGACUCCUACGGGAGGCAGCAGUGGGGAAUAUUGCACAAUGGGCGGAAGCCUGAUGCAGCAACGCCGCGUGCGGGAUGACGGCCUUCGGGUUGUAAACCGCUUUCGCCUGUGACGAAGCGUGAGUGACGGUAAUGGGUAAAGAAGCACCGGCUAACUACGUG
rnacentral:rRNA from 1 species